GUGGGGAAUAUUGCACAAUGGGCGGAAGCCUGAUGCAGCGACGCCGCGUGAGGGAUGACGGCCUUCGGGUUGUAAACCUCUUUCAGCAGGGACGAAGCGCAAGUGACGGUACCUGCAGAAGAAGCACCGGCCAACUACGUGCCAGCAGCCGCGGUAAUACGUAGGGUGCAAGCGUUGUCCGGAAUUACUGGGCGUAAAGAGCUCGUAGGCGGUUUGUCGCGUCGUCUGUGAAAUCCCGUGGCUCAACCACGGGCGUGCAGGCGAUACGGGCAGACUUGAGUACUGCAGGGGAGACUGGAAUUCCUGGUGUAGCGGUGAAAUGCGCAGAUAUCAGGAGGAACACCGGUGGCGAAGGCGGGUCUCUGGGCAGUAACUGACGCUGAGGAGCGAAAGCGUGGGUAGCGAACAGGAUUAGAAACCCUAGUAGUCC
rnacentral:rRNA from 1 species